rnacentral:lncRNA from 1 species
ACACUUCUGUGUGCGUAUGUACGCAUAGAUACACAAGAUUGCAGCUUCUGGGGGUUAGCAUGCAAACUCCACUUUCUGUUCUACUUUCCUGUUACAAUGACAUCUCUAGAGUUGGUCCAAAGUCUACAAUGGAACUUUUCUGUUCACCCUCUUGGAUCAGAAUAGCUCAAGUGCUAAUCAAAUCUGUGUUCCAGGUAAGUGAUGGGUGAAUCAUCUGACAGCAAACACUGAGCACAGAUAAGAUUAAUUAGGAGGCUGCAUGCCUAGAGGUAAGGAGGAAAAUGUUUCAGAGAAGGUCAGGCAGAGGUAAGAAAAGCCUUGACUUUUAUGUGGUAUGCUCUCACCAUAGACAGAGAAUUUUAUGGGCUCAGACAUUUAAAGAAGACCGACAGCGUUACUGAUCUUAUGCCAAUCAGAUCUUCUAGGUGGGAAUUCCCCUGCUUGCAUAGCCCAAGUUGAGAAGUGAAGUGGGAAGGAGACAGCAGCACGAGAGGUAGCUGAGUGAAGAGUGAUGACCAAGAGAGAGAUGAAACAUGAAAUAAGUUAACCGGCACGCAGGCACCAGAGCUGGAGAACCAGGGAAUGUUUUCUACAUGGAGCACUGUGUUAUCCAGGCAGCCUCGUGUGACCAAAGAAGCCCUGUAAAAGAGCCUCAGCUGGAUAGCAGGCAAAAAAAAUGUCUACACAUACCUGGCAAGUGUGGGCCAUGUACGUGGUCUUGGCUGUCAGUCUCUCUGAGGAACAAGCCCUGAAGCAGGCCUGUCCUUCAUGUGAUGCCACGCAGUCUUGCAACUGCUCUGCCAUGGGCUUGGA